AUCGCUCAUGUGAAUUCCUUUUUUGUUUGUGCAGAUUACAAGGAUGAUCCUUACAUCUACACUUUUUGACAGUUCGAACCACAUUGGCAUUGAGCUAGCUGUGGCAGGUUAAGUCGGGAACUUUGUUUGACAACAUUCUUAUCACUGAUGACCCUGAGUAUGCCAAGAAAUUUGCAGAAGAAACCUGGGCCAAGCAUAAAGAUGCUGAGAAAACUGCCUUCGAUGAGGCCGAGAAGAGGAGGCUUGAGGAGGAUGAUGAGGAUGAGGCGGACGAUGACAAGGCUGAUGUAGUUGCUGAGCAGACAAAGGACUCGGAUGAUGAUAAACCACAGGACAUCAAGGUCUCUGCUGAUGAGAAGCCAAAUAGCAGCAAGUAUGAUUCUUCCCUCUGCGAAGAGGGAUGAACUUUAGAUAUCUUAUUAUUAGAUGAUAAUAUGUCAUGACGAAGAGGCAACUGAAUCACCUGUAAACCUAUCCGAGGAGAAAAAAAAAAUCCAAAAAACGAGAAAAAACGGAUCGGUUACGGCUAUUAUUAGCUGGAUGCAUGGAACAAUGGGGACUGCAUGAACAAUAAAAUUUCCGUUUAGUUAUCUUAAUCUUAUCAU